rnacentral:rRNA from 1 species
GAUGAACGCUGGCGGCGUGCCUAAUACAUGCAAGUCGAGCGAAGCGGGGACGGGUGCGUAACACGUGGAUAACCUCCUAUAAGACUGGGUUAACUUCGGGAAACCGGAGCUAAACCGGAUACUUAUAGAAUGAUCCGCGCUGCAUUAACUAGUUGGUAAGGUAAGGGCUGACCAAGGCAACGAUGCAUAGCCGAGCUGAGAGGGUGAUCGGCAACACGGGAACGUAGACACGGUACAGAAUCCUACGGGAGGCAGCAGGAGGGAAUCGUGCGGAAUGGGCGAAAGCCUGACGGAGCAACGCCGCGUGAGUGAUGAAGGCCUUCGGAUUGUAAAACUCUGUUAUUAGGGAAGCGUUACCUAAGGAGAAAGCAACGGCUAACUACGUGCCAGCAGCCGCGGUAAUUC